rnacentral:rRNA from 1 species
AGCGAACGCUGGCGGCGUGCCUAAUACAUGCAAGUCGAACGGAGUGGCGCACGGGUGAGUAAUAUAUAGCUAAUCUGCCCCUUGCUGGAGGACAACAGUUAGAAAUGACACCUAAUACUCCAUAGCAAGGGAUGAGACUAUAUCGUAUCAGAUAGUCGGUGGGGUAACGGCCUACAGAGGCUAUGACGCGUAACUGGUCUGCGAGGAUGAGCAGUGACAUUGGAACUGAGACACGGUCCAAACUCCUACGGGAGGGAGCAGUAGGGAAUAGUGCGAGAUGGGGGAAGCCAUGACGCAGCAACGGCGCGUGGAGGAUGAUGCUUUGCGGGGAGUAAACUCCUUGGGAUAGGGAAGCGGUACCUAACGAAUAAGCACCGGCUAACUCCGUGCCAGCAGCCGCGGUAAUUC